AUUGAACGCUGGCGGCAGGCCUAACACAUGCAAGUCGAACGAGUGGCGGAUGGGUGCGAAAUGUCUGGGAAACUGACUGAUGGCGGGGGAUAACUACUGGAAAAGGUAGCUAAUACCGCAUACAAUCGGUUGUGCCCAGAUGGGAUUAGCUAGUAGGUGGGGUAAAGGCUCACCUCGGCGACGAUCCCUAGCUGGUCUGAGAGGCUGACCAGCCACACGGGAACUGAGACACGGUCCAGACUCCUACGGGAGGCAGCAGUGGGGAAUAUUGCACAAUGGGCGCAAGCCUGAUGCAGCCAUGCCGCGUGUAUGAAGAAGGCCUUCGGGUUGUAAAGUACUUUCAGCGGGGAGGCGUUACCCGCAGAAGAAGCACCGGCUAACUCCGUGCCAGCAGCCGCGGUAAUAC
rnacentral:rRNA from 1 species